rnacentral:rRNA from 1 species
CACCUGGGGAGUACGACCGCAAGGUUGAAACUCAAAGGAAUUGACGGGGGCCCGCACAAGCAGUGGAGUAUGUGGAUUAAUUCGAAGCAACGCGAAGAACCUUACCAGGUCUUGACAUCGUAUGCAUAGCUCAGAGAUGAGUGAAAUCUCUUCGGAGACAUAUAGACAGGUGGUGCAUGGUUGUCGUCAGCUCGUGUCGUGAGAUGUUGGGUUAAGUCCCGCAACGAGCGCAACCCUUACUGUUAGUUGCUACGCAAGAGCACUCUAGCAGGACUGCCGUUGACAAAACGGAGGAAGGUGGGGAUGACGUCAAAUCAUCAUGCCCCUUAUGACCUGGGCCUCACACGUACUACAAUGGCUGUCAACAGAGGGAUGCAAAGCCGCGAGGUGGAGCGAACCCCUAAAAGCAGUCUUAGUUCGGAUUGUAGGCUGCAACCCGCCUACAUGAAGUCGGAAUUGCUAGUAAUCGCAGAUCAGCAUGCUGCGGUGAAUACGUUCCCGGGCCUUGUACACACCGCCCGUCACGCCAUGGGAGUCGGUAACACCCGAAGCCUGUAGUCUAACCGCAAGGAGGACGCAGUCGAAGGUGGGAUUGAUGACUGGGGUGAAGUCGUAACAAGGUAGCCGUAUCGGAAGGUGCGGCUG